UACGAAGGGGGCUAGCGUUGCUCGGAAUUACUGGGCGUAAAGCGCACGUAGGCGGCUUUGUAAGUAAGAGGUGAAAGCCUGGAGCUCAACUCCAGAAUUGCCUUUUAGACUGCAUCGCUUGAAUCAUGGAGAGGUGAGUGGAAUUCCGAGUGUAGAGGUGAAAUUCGUAGAUAUUCGGAAGAACACCAGUGGCGAAGGCGGCUCACUGGACAUGUAUUGACGCUGAGGUGCGAAAGCCAGGGGAGCAAACGGG
rnacentral:rRNA from 1 species